AAUAAGUACAGUUUUGACACUGUUCAUGUCCAAAGUUUGACAGUUCGUCUUAUUUGAAAAAAAUUAUGAUUAGUAUUUUUAUUGUUAUUAUAUGAUAAAACAUGAAUAAUAUUUUAUGUAUGACUAAUUUUUUUUAAUAUUUUUCAUAAAUUUUUAAAUAAGACGGAUGGUUAAAAUGCUGAACACGGAUAUCUAUGGCU
rnacentral:pre_miRNA from 1 species